CCUACGGGAGGCAGCAGUGGGGAAUAUUGGACAAUGGGGGGAACCCUGAUCCAGCCAUGCCGCGUGUGUGAAGAAGGCCCUCGGGUUGUAAAGCACUUUCAGUGAGGAAGAACGCCUGGUGGUUAAUACCCAUCAGGAAAGACAUCACUCACAGAAGAAGCACCGGCUAACUCCGUGCCAGCAGCCGCGGUAAUACGGAGGGUGCGAGCGUUAAUCGGAAUUACUGGGCGUAAAGCGCGCGUAGGUGGCUUGAUAAGCCGGUUGUGAAAGCCCCGGGCUCAACCUGGGAACGGCAUCCGGAACUGUCAAGCUAGAGUGCAGGAGAGGAAGGUAGAAUUCCCGGUGUAGCGGUGAAAUGCGUAGAGAUCGGGAGGAAUACCAGUGGCGAAGGCGGCCUUCUGGACUGCCACUGACACUGAGGUGCGAAAGCGUGGGUAGCAAACAGGAUUAGAUACCCUAGUAGUC
rnacentral:rRNA from 1 species